rnacentral:rRNA from 1 species
GAGUUUGAUCGUGGCUCAGGAUGAACGCUAGCGGCAGGCUUAACACAUGCAAGUCGAGGGGUAGAGUUAGCUUGCUAACUUGAGACCGGCGCACGGGUGCGUAACGCGUAUGCAAUCUACCUUGUACAGAGGGAUAGCCCAGAGAAAUUUGGAUUAAUACCUCAUAGUGUAACGAAAAGGCAUCUUUUGUUACUAAAGUUCCAACGGUACAAGAUGAGCAUGCGUCCCAUUAGCUAGAUGGUAAGGUAACGGCUUACCAUGGCAACGAUGGGUAGGGGUCCUGAGAGGGAGAUCCCCCACACUGGUACUGAGACACGGACCAGACUCCUACGGGAGGCAGCAGUGAGGAAUAUUGGUCAAUGGGCGCAAGCCUGAACCAGCCAUGCCGCGUGCAGGAUGACGGUCCUA